rnacentral:rRNA from 1 species
AAAUGAAUAGACGGGGGCCCGCACAAGCAGUGGAGUAUGUGGUUUAAUUCGAAGCAACGCGAAGAACCUUACCAGGGCUUGACAUAUAAAUGAAUUAGUGGGAAACCACUAAGCUUUUCGGAGCAUUUAUACAGGUGGUGCAUGGUUGUCGUCAGCUCGUGUCGUGAGAUGUUGGGUUAAGUCCCGCAACGAGCGCAACCCCUGUGGUUAGUUGCCAGCACGUAAUGGUGGGAACUCUAAUCAGACUGCCGGUGAAAAAUCGGAGGAAGGUGGGGACGACGUCAAAUCAUCAUGCCCUUUAUGUCCUGGGCAACACACGUACUACAAUGGUCGUAACAGAGAGAAACGAAGCAGCGAUGCAGAGAGAAACUCAAAAAGCGACCUCAGUUCGGAUUGCAGGCUGAAAUUCGCCUGCAUGAAGUUGGAAUUGCUAGUAAUGGCAGGUCAGCAUACUGCCGUGAAUACGUUCCCGGGCCUUGUACACACCGCCCGU